GACAGACACCAUCUCACGAGCUCAAUCCACCGUACGGACUGCGCACCCUACAGUAUUUUGUGUCAAAAGCCUCAAUUUUGAAUUAUGGAAUGCCUGAACAGAAUCCCUCUUAAUCUAUCAUCCCGUGCCCGAAGAUCGCGUGCUCAAUUCGCAUCGAACAUCCUGGUGAACAAUAUUUUCCAAAACCCAAUUCUCCAAGCAAUUAAAGCCAAAGGUUUGCUCGUUGGUUGGUUGGUUGGUUGGUUCCAUCGAAAGGAGCAGCACUCAGCCAAACUUGGAGAGGGAAGAAGUGAGUCGGGAGAUUUGCAUAUUGCCCCCUCCCUAUGUACAAUGAUGCACCUACCUCCACCAACAUUUGCAUACGUCGAAAUGAGCAUUCGAAAUGGGCUGUUCAGUCACUCCUCACCCGGCCCUCAAUCCCCCAAAUCCUUAACGAGAGAAGCCCCUCGUCAUCCUGAAGAACUCACGCCUUGUUCUCCUACCUACCUGCUUACCUGCUUGCUUCCAUUUCCGUCUCUUGAGCCUCCUCACACAAUGUCAACAGCAACAUUUAAAACAUCCAAUUGAUGGCUUUUCAUGUUCGUAGGAUUGAGUUCAAGGCUCGAUCAAUCAUUCCCGGCUAGUGGAGAGGUGCAUUGUACGUACGUAUUUACAGUAUAUGCAAACCUGGUGUACCCGGAUGAGCGUGUAUCAAAUGAGUAGACUCCAUAGACCUCUGGAGACCUAUUGUUGUUUAAGAUUCUCUAAUAAAUUGGAAAAUGACAACAAAUUGGAAGCCCUCAAAUAAUUUCCUGGACAAGAAUCAAU